UAUGGCCAUAUCACAUUAAAACAUUGGUUCCCAUAUGAUCACCAAAGUUAAGCAACAUCAAGCCUAGUCAGUAUGUAGAUGGCUAACUGCUUGGAAAUACCUGGUGCUGUAAG